rnacentral:rRNA from 1 species
CACGUAGGGCGCAAGCGUUGUCCGGAAUUAUUGGGCGUAAAGAGCUCGUAGGCGGACUGUCACGUCCGCUGUGAAAAGCUAGGGCUUAACCCUGGCCUUGCAGUGGAUACGGGCAGACUAGAGGUAGGUAGGGGAGAAUGGAAUUCCCGGUGUAGCGGUGAAAUGCGCAGAUAUCGGGAGGAACACAGGUGGCGAAGGCGGUUCUCUGGCCUUACCUGACGCUGAGGAGCGAAAGCGUGGGGAGCGAACGAGGA